AAUAUAACCUGUAAUAAAGAGUAGGAGUAAUUUUAAUACUUGUGCUUCGAGUACAAACUGUAAUAAAGUGCUUAGAGUACUUUUAACUGUAAUAAAGUGUGAAUGAUAUCAAACCAUCCAGCGAGGAUGAUAUCCAUAAGAGUAUAAAAUACAAUGUGUGGGCAAGUACCACCAAUGGAAAUAAGAAGCUUGAUGUUGCUUAUCAAGAAGCUUAGGCAAAGGGCUCUAGCUGCCCUGUAUUCUUGUUUUUCUCAGUGAAUACAAGUGGACAGUUUGUUGGUGUUGCUGAAAUGACUGGUCCUGUUGAUUUUGAAAAAACUCUAGAGUACUGGCAACAAGACAAGUGGAAUGGUUAAUUCUCUGUCAAGUGGCACAUUGUCAAGGAUGUUCCCAACAACAUUCUCAAGCACAUCAUCCUAGAGAACAACGAGGGCAAACUGGUCACAAACAGCUGUGACACACAGGAUAUCAACCUUGAGCAAGGUAUUCAUAUGCUUAAGAUAUUCAAAGAGCAUGUCAGCAAGACCUCUAUCAGGUUCAAAGUUCCCAGAUAGGCCGUUUCAGCAUGCUUGUAGGAGAUGCUGGUUCUGUAGCAGAUGCCUUGUUUUUUAUGCCGUUUUGAUGCCAGAUAGGCCGACAUUACUCUUUUUUCCUCCAUUCGGUUGCACCUACCAUCUCAAUAUCAUCAUCCACUGCUUGCCUGGACCAACACCCAGCUACCAUCUUAUUUUGGGUUACUUUGCCUGCCUGGCUGCCAUGAUUGGUUGGAUGGUGAUGUUUGUAUCAGGGAGUUUGUUGACAAGAGCUCCACACUGACUACUAUCAGGUUCAAGGAGACUUGUUAUCACAGUCACUGCUCGGAUCCAGUUAGGUAAACAAAAUUUGCUGGGAACUCCAGUGCAUAACAAAAUUUGCUGGGAGUAUUCAGUUUACUGACAAAAUUUGCUACAGUUUAUGAUCUGCUACUCCUAUUAUCUGAAAUGCCACGGUUAUGAUUUGCUAGUCCUUUUGUUCAAAUUACUUACUCCAUCAGUACUCUAUCACUUAAAUCAAAUUAUUAGUUCAAACUUAGUGGUUUCUCUGAAUUAUUCUACCAAAUUCAGUUAUACUCUUGACUACACUUGAAUCAGUACAUCUCUUGAAUCACUUGAGUUUUGUUUAUGCUUGCAGUUUGUUUCCAGCGACAGCAGAGAGAUGUACUCCAGCAGAGGAUCAAAUGAUCAGAGAGAGGAGAUGAACCUGCCCAGCAGCAGCCGAGC